CCUACGGGAGGCAGCAGUGAGGAAUAUUGGUCAAUGGUCGGGAGACUGAACCAGCCAAGCCGCGUGAGGGAUGAAGGUACAGAGUAUCGUAAACCUCUUUUGUCAGGGAACAAAGGCGGGGACGUGUCCCCGGAUGAGUGUACCUGAAGAAAAAGCAUCGGCUAACUCCGUGCCAGCAGCCGCGGUAAUACGGAGGUUGCGAGCGUUAUCCGGAUUUAUUGGGUUAAAAGGGUGCGUAGGCGGUCUGUUAAGUCAGCGGUCAAAGCCCGGGGCUCAACCCCGGCCCGCCGUUGAAACUGGCAGUCGCGAGUUGGAGAGAAGUAGGCGGAAUGCGCGGUGUAGCGGUGAAAUGCAUAGAUAUCGCGCAGAACUCCGAUUGCGAAGGCAGCAUGCCGGCUCCACACUGACGCUGAGGCACGAAAGCGUGGGUAUCGAACAGGAUUAGAUACCCGUGUAGUC
rnacentral:rRNA from 1 species